GGACACGGUAGUACGGGCUAGAACGUGCUUCUUCGCCUUCGCAUGGCGGAGGUCACGAGUUCGAGUCUCGUCGGGUCCA
rnacentral:tRNA from 1 species